UAUCUCCCUCCUCUCGCUACAGGAGACGGGAGAGGGCGUGGCGGCCAUCCCAUGGCUGUGGCCGCCCCCAACCACGUGCGGUCAUCGCCCCGGUCCCCUCGUGGAUAAGAGCAUCCCCAGAGCACCCUCGACCGAACCCUAGGCCAUUCUUCCCCUUUUCCCUCGUCCUUGUCUUCCAUCCCGAGGUCACCCGCGUGCGUCCAUGGCCGUGCCGUCGACGUAGCCAUGGCCACUGGCCACCAUUCGCCGCUCCACCGUGUGUGGGAGGUUCGCGGACGACCACUACAUCGUCUUCGUGCAUCAAACUAAGUCGGACGCCUCCGCAUCGACGGGAUCGAGCUCGCCAUCGAACUUCUGCGUCGAUGGUCGCCUCUGUCGAUUCGCCCUGCUCCGCCCCACCCCCGGCUUCCCCGAGCUCGUACACGACCUCCCAGUGAGCCCCGCCUGUUUCCCCUUCAUUUCCCCCUUGUUCCUCGUCUCGAUUCGUCGCCAUAGAUGCCCCCGCGCGUCGCUGUCCAUGGCGGACGGAGCCCGGCUCCCCGCGCCCGCUCCUGUGUGUUGCCGCCGCCGCCGCGCAGCCCCGCUGCCUGCUGCUCGCCUCUGCCCGCCGCUCCCUGCUGCCCCCAAAGCCACAGCCGCACGCGCUGCCACCCGCGUUGCCGCCACACUGCUGCUCUCCGGUCGCCGUGCGCGUCUGCACGGUCGCUCGUUGCCUCCUCACAAGCAGGGGCGGAGCUGGGCCCCGGGCACCCAGGGCCCAGGCCCGGGGCGUGGAAUUUUUACUAGCCUAUUAUAUAUGUAUAAUUUUCUGCAGGCCCGGGGUGCAGCCCAGUAAAACGAAGACCCAGAGCGGCAUUUGCUCUCUCAGCUCGUGAAACAGACGCACGAGGAUGAGGAGACUUCCCUCGACAAAAAAAAAGAGCACGAGGAGAUCUCCAACUCACGCACGGACGCGGCAGGAAAAUAGCAAACCGACGGACCCACGCACAUUACGAAUCUUCAGGAGACGCCAGCGAUCGCGAGGCCGCCGCCGAUCUAACGCGCACGCGACGCACGUCCAGACUCCAGCGUUCCAGCGAACACAAGAUCAAUCUGGCAGAAGUAUAGAGUCCAGACUCCAGCGCUCACGCCGGCCUCCGGCGCCGCCGUCUCGGCUACUGCUGGGCAGCCUUCCUGUGCGCAGUCCGCUGUUCGCCCAAUCUGCCGCUUCUUGACUGCUGUACCUUGAAAAACAAGAUGAAGAGAUUUUUUUUCACCGGUGUCUGCAACGAGGGUGUCCACACCUAUCAUUUUAGAUAUAUUUGCAAGUACUAACGAUGAUGAUAUUGUAUAUCGAUUUCAAUCAUAUAUGUCUCGCAAAGGGCUUUUACCCCGUCGAAGUGGUGUUGGCUCUUCUUCCAGCGAUGAUGAGUUUAGGUGACGCACUGAUGAAGCAAAUCAUUGAUUUGGUACUUUUUUUAUAACAUAAUGUUCUUUGUAGUGCUUGACAUGUUUUAUCUAAUUUUUUGUACCAUUAAGCAUUGAGCUUAAAUUCUAAAUUUUUCGUUCAUUUGAGCCAUAUUUUGUAUGGGGUUUCUUUUAUGGUAGCUAAGAGCCUUAUGGACAUUAAAAAAAAAUUCUUGGGGCAAAUUUUUUUUUUGGGCCCAGGGCUUGCUCCAAUCCUGGCUCCGCCACUGCUCACAAGUGUACUGCUGCUGCUGAACGCCAGGCUGCUCUGCUCACUACUGCUGCCGCUGCGUGCUGCUCGUUACUCAUGCCGCUGCUCACUACUACCUGCUGCUGCUCGCUUGCUACUACUACCAUCUGCUCGCCAAGCCCUCUGUACAUGGUCGUGCGUAUGUCCGGCUGGGCUAAUGGUCGGCCCUUGUUUAAUUAGUCUAGGUUUAGUUUAGUAGUAGUUUAGUGCUAAUUUAGCCUAUUUAGCUAAUGACAAGUGGGUCCCAUUUAAUUAGAUUAGAUAGAUCUUCUGGGAAUUAUUAAAACAGGGGCAUGUGGCUGGCUGUUUAAUUAUUCUAAAUAGGUAUUAGGGGUAACUUUAUAUGCUAAUUAGAGUAUGUCUUGUGGGUCCCCUUGCUAAAUCAACCUUUUUAGCACUUUGGUUAAAAUAUCAGUCUAUGACAGGUGGACCCAGUCAACACAUUGACCAGUCAACUGUUGAGUCAGUAGUUGACCAUGCCCACAUGUCAGCGGCUCCAAGCCACUGCUACGUACACUUAGUAAUUAAAUAUUAAUUUAUUUUCGAAUUAAAAUAAAUCCUAGAAAUUUAGAAAUCAUUUAAACUUUGAAAAAUCAUAUAAAAUAAUCCGUAACUCGGAUGAAAAUACUUUGUAUAUGAAAGUUGCUCAGAACGACGAGAUGAAUCCGGAUGCGCAGCUUGUUCGUCCACCAUGCAGGUCUAGCAUAGCGAACACGCAAUUUUCCCCCUCCGAUUCAUCUAUCAAAAAUGCGAAACACCGGGAAUACUUUCCUAGAUGUUUCCCCCCUUCGCCGGUAACGCCUAUCCCUACGUUAGGUCACCCCUAGCACAAUGUAUUGUCGUAUCUUGCUCUGUGUUACUUUUGAUUGCUCUGUUAUUUAUUGUGUUCCCCCUCCGUACUCCUUUC